ensembl:lncRNA
UUUGUGUUAAUUGAUUCAAAGGGGUAUGAUGAAACUUGUCAGGAUGGCUGAGCGGUCUAAGGCGCUGCGUUCAGGUCGCAGUCUCCUCUGGUGGCGUGGGUUCGAAUGCCACUUCUGACAUUACAUUUGGAUUUCGUUGAUUGUGAUUAUCUGUUCAAACUUUGUAAUACGGAGAACAUUUGGAAAAGGUAAGGAGGUUUAAACUCAAAGUGACUGGCUGGCUACUUUGGGGUAGUAGAAAGGGGAAAUGAGAGGGGUGUCUUUCUGUCUCAAUCUGUGUGUUUGCACGUCCGUGUCGUGCAUUAGUUUAUGUAAGUAGUGUAAUCCAUGCAACUAUGCUAACGUUACAGCGCAUGGUAGCUGGGGUUUAUUAUCGGUCCUUGUUGUACGGACAUUUGAACAUACGAG